CAGCCGCCACGGUAAUACGAAGGGGGCUAGCGUUGCUCGGAAUGACUGGGCGUAAAGGGCGCGUAGGCGGCGGCCAAAGUCAGGCGUGAAAUUCCUGGGCUCAACCUGGGGGCUGCGUUUGAUACUUGGUUGCUUGAGUGGGGAAGAGGGUCGUGGAAUUCCCAGUGUAGAGGUGAAAUUCGUAGAUAUUGGGAAGAACACCGGUGGCGAAGGCGGCGACCUGGUCCUUUACUGACGCUGAGGCGCGAAAGCGUGGGGAGCAAACAGGAUUAGAUACCCCAGUAGUCCCUGUCUCUUAUAC
rnacentral:rRNA from 1 species